ensembl:snoRNA
GUGCCAGUUAGUUACAUCUGCUUAACUUGACAGUGUUUUGCAGAGCAUGUUUUAAGAUAACGCUGGCAAAGUAAAGCCACAGUACGAGCCUUGAAGACUUUGUUGUCUUUGAGGUCCCGAGAGAUGGCUACAUCU